GAAGCGGCAAGAGCUCAAAUUUGAAAGCUGGCUCCUUCGGGGUCCGCAUUGUAAUUUGCAGAGGAUGCUUCGGGAGCGGUCCCCAUCUAAGUGCCCUGGAACGGGACGUCAUAGAGGGUGAGAAUCCCGUAUGGGAUGGGGUGUCCGCGCCCGUGUGAAGCUCCUUCGACGAGUCGAGUUGUUUGGGAAUGCAGCUCUAAAUGGGUGGUAAAUUUCAUCUAAAGCUAAAUAUUGGCCGGAGACCGAUAGCGCACAAGUAGAGUGAUCGAAAGAUGAAAAGCACUUUGAAAAGAGAGUUAAAAAGCACGUGAAAUUGUUGAAAGGGAAGCGCUUGCGACCAGACUCGCUCGCGGGGUUCAGCCGGCAUUCGUGCCGGUGUACUUCCCCGCGGGCGGGCCAGCGUCGGUUUGGGCGGUCGGUCAAAGGCCCUCGGAAGGUAACGCCCCUAGGGGCGUCUUAUAGCCGAGGGUGCAAUGCGACCUGCCUAGACCGAGGAACGCGCUUCGGCUCGGACGCUGGCAUAAUGGUCGUAAGCGACCCGUCUUGAAAC
rnacentral:rRNA from 1 species